GCCUACGGGGCGCAGCAGUGGGGGAUAUUGCACAAUGGGGGAAACCCUGAUGCAGCAACGCCGCGUGAGUGAAGAAGGUCUUCGGAUUGUAAACCUCUUUUGUCGGGGAGCAAAAGCCGGACGUGUCCGGCUGUGAGAGUACCCGAAGAAAAAGCAUCGGCUAACUCCGUGCCAGCAGCCGCGGUAAUACGGAGGAUGCGAGCGUUAUCCGGAUUUAUUGGGUUUAAAGGGUGCGCAGGCGGAUUUUUAAGUCAGCGGUCAACUCGUGGGGCUCAACCCCAUCCAGCCGUUGAAACUGGGGAUCU
rnacentral:rRNA from 1 species